GACGGAGGAUGCAAGUGUUAUCCGGAAUCACUGGGCGUAAAGCGUCUGUAGGUGGUCAAAUAAGUCAACUGUUAAAUCUUGAGGCUCAACCUCAAAAUCGCAGUCGAAACUAUUCGACUAGAGUAUAGUAGGGGUAAAGGGAAUUUCCGGUGGAGCGGUGAAAUGCGUAGAGAUCGGAAAAGAACACCAACGGCGAAAGCACUCUGCUGGGCCGACACUGACACUGAGAGACGAAAGCUAGGGGAGCGAAUGGG
rnacentral:rRNA from 1 species